rnacentral:sRNA from 1 species
GAGACAAAUGUGACAAAAGAUGUGGUGUGUCUCAAUGAUGUUUCCUGCUACUUUUCCCUUCUGGAGGGUGGUCGGCCAGAAGACAAGUUAGAAUUCACCUUCAAGCUGUACGACACGGACAGAAAUGGGAUCCUGGACAGCUCAGAAGUGGACAAAAUUAUCCUACAGAUGAUGCGAGUGGCUGAAUACCUGGAUUGGGAUGUGUCUGAGCUGAGGCCGAUUCUUCAGGAGAUGAUGAAAGAGAUUGACUAUGAUGGCAGUGGCUCUGUCUCUCAAGCUGAGUGGGUCCGGGCUGGGGCCACCACCGUGCCACUGCUAGUGCUGCUGGGUCUGGAGAUGACUCUGAAGGACGAUGGACAGCACAUGUGGAGGCCCAAGAGGUUCCCCAGACCAGUCUACUGCAAUCUGUGCGAGUCAAGCAUUGGUCUUGGCAAACAGGGACUGAGCUGUAACCGUGAGUAAUGGGAGCUGGGAGGUAGGGGAAGAGGGUCAGCCCAGCUAUCUGUGGGAGCUUGACGCUGUAAACUUAGAAAGACCUA